CCGGGAUGGUGAGUUCCAGAGUUGGGGGUAUUGCAGUGGGGGUCCUGGACUGAGGCUGGGGCCCAAUUCCGAGCACUGACGUUACUGUCUUGUCCCCACAGAAGCCGAUCCUACUGCAGGGCCAUGAGCGGUCCAUUACGCAGAUUAAGUAUAACCGCGAAGGAGACCUCCUUUUUACUGUUGCCAAGGACCCUAUCGUCAAUGUAUGGUACUCUGUGAAUGGUGAGAGGCUGGGCACCUACAUGGGCCAUACCGGAGCUGUGUGGUGUGUGGACGCUGACUGGGACACCAAGCAUGUCCUCACUGGCUCAGCUGACAACAGCUGUCGUCUCUGGGACUGUGAAACAGGAAAGCAACUGGCCCUUCUCAAGACCAACUCGGCUGUCCGGACCUGCGGUUUUGACUUUGGGGGCAACAUCAUCAUGUUCUCCACAGACAAGCAGAUGGGCUACCAGUGCUUUGUGAGCUUUUUUGACCUGCGGGAUCCGAGCCAGAUUGACAACAAUGAGCCCUACAUGAAGAUCCCUUGCAAUGACUCUAAAAUCACCAGUGCUGUUUGGGGACCCCUGGGGGAGUGCAUCAUCGCUGGCCAUGAGAGUGGAGAGCUCAACCAGUAUAGUGCCAAGUCUGGAGAGGUGUUGGUGAAUGUUAAGGAGCACUCCCGGCAGAUCAACGACAUCCAGUUAUCCAGGGACAUGACCAUGUUUGUGACCGCAUCCAAGGACAACACAGCCAAGCUUUUUGACUCCACAACUCUUGAACAUCAGAAGACUUUCCGGACAGAACGUCCCGUCAACUCAGCUGCCCUCUCCCCCAACUAUGACC
rnacentral:sRNA from 1 species